rnacentral:rRNA from 1 species
UACGUAGGGUGCGAGCGUUAAUCGGAAUUACUGGGCGUAAAGCGUGCGCAGGCGGUUCGCCAAGUCAGGUGUGAAAUCCCCGGGCUUAACCUGGGGAUUGCGCUUGAAACUAGCGGGCUUGAGUGUGGCAGAGGGGGGUGGAAUUCCACGUGUAGCAGUGAAAUGCGUAGAGAUGUGGAGGAACACCGAUGGCGAAGGCAGCCCCCUGGGUCAACACUGACGCUCAUGCACGAAAGCGUGGGGAGCAAACAGG